CUUGAAUUCCUAUAAGAGGUCCAGCCUGCCCAGUGACUUUGUUCAACGGCCGCGGUAUCCUAACCGUGCGAAGGUAGCGUAAUCACUUGUCUUUUAAAUGAGGACUUGUAUGAAUGGCAUCACGAGGGUUAUACUGUCUCCUUUCUCUAAUCAGUGAAACUAAUCUUCCCGUGAAGAAGCGGGAAUAAAUAUAUAAGACGAGAAGACCCUAUGGAGCUUUAAACUUAAUAACAAAUACUAACCUUACUUCAACUUCCAGAACAUUAAUCUUAAUUUUAGUAUCGUGUUUAUUAGUUUUAGGUUGGGGUGACCGCGGAGUAAAAAUUAACCUCCAUAUUGAAUAGGACUUGUCCUUGAGCUAAGAACUACAACCCUAAGCACCAAUAAAUUGACAUUAAUUGACCCAAUAUUUUGAUCAACGAAC
rnacentral:rRNA from 1 species